rnacentral:misc_RNA from 1 species
GAUGAAGAACGUAGCGAAAUGCGAUACGUAAUGUGAAUUGCAGAAUUCAGUGAAUCAUCGAGUCUUUGAACGCACAUUGCGCCCCCUGGUAUUCCGGGGGGCAUGCCUGUCCGAGCGUCAUUGCUGCCCUCAAGCACGGCUUGUGUGUUGGGCCUCCGUCCUCCUCCCGGGGGACGGGCCCGAAAGGCAGCGGCGGCACCGCGUCCGGUCCUCGAGCGUAUGGGGCUUCGUCACCCGCUCUUGUAGGCCCGGUCGGCGCUUGCCGACACAUCAAUCUUUUUUCCAGGUUGACCUCGGAUCAGGUGGGGAUACCCGCUGAACUUAAGCAUAUCAAUAAGCGGAGGA